rnacentral:rRNA from 1 species
AACGAACGCUGGCGGCAGGCUUAACACAUGCAAGUAGAACGCAUGCGUUCGGGCAUGCGUGGCAGACGGGGGUGUAACCGGUGGAAACCUACCUCUUUGUCCGGCCUAGCACCGGGGAACUGGUGAUAAUACCGUAUGUUUCCUGAGGAUCAAAGAUUCAUCUCCAAGAGAUGGGCCCACGUCGUAUUAGCUCGUUGGUGGGGUAACGGCCUACCAAGGCUACGAUCCGUAGCUGGUCUACGAGUACGACCAGCCACAUUGGGACUGAGACACGGCCCAAACUCCUACGGGAGGCAGCAGUGGGGAAUAUUGGACGAUGGGCGCAAGCCUGAUCCAUCCAUGUCGCGUGAGUGAGUAAGGCGCUAGGAUUGUAAAGCUCUUUCGCCGGUGACGAUAAUGACGGUAACCGGAGAAGAAGCCCCGGCUAACUUCGUG